rnacentral:rRNA from 1 species
GGGAGUGAAAUAGAACCUGAAACCCUGCACUUACAAGCUGUGGAAGCACAUUUCUUGUGUGACCGCGUACUUGUUGUAGAGCGGGCGAACGAGUUACGUUAAGUAGCAAGGUUAAGCACUUAAGGUGCGGAGCCGUAGCGAAAGAGAGUUUUAACUGAGCGUUCAGUUACUGGACGUAGACCCGAAACCGGGCGACCUACCCAUGAGCAGGAUGAAGCGAAAGUAAAAUUUCGUGGAGGUCCGAACCCACGGGCGUUGAAAAGCUCGGGGAUGACUUGUGGGUAGCGGUGAAAUUCCAAUCGAGCCCGGAGAUAGCUGGUUCUCCCCGAAAUAGCUUUAGGGCUAGCCUCAAGGUGAGAGAUACGGAGGUAGAGCACUGAAUGUCCUAGGGGGUAUUGCACCUACCGAAGACUAUCAAACUCCGAAUGCCGCCAUCUUAUACUUGGGAGUCAGACUGUGGGUGAUAAGAUUCUUAGUCGACAGGGCAACAGCCCAGAUCCUCAGCUAAGGUCCCUAAAUAUAAGUUAAGUGGUAGAGGGUGUGGGAUUUCACAGACAACUAGGAUAUUGGCUUAGAAGCAGCCACUCAUUCAAAGAGUGCGUAAUAGCUCACUGGUCGAGUGAUCCUGCGCCGAAGAUUUCCGGGGCUAAAACUUACUACCGAAGCUACGGCAUCAGUAAUGAUGGGUAGGGGAGCUUCCCAUACGGGUUGAAGCAUGACCGUAAGGACAUGUGGACAGUAUGGGAGUGAGAAUGUUGGCAUGAGUAGCGAGAUGUGGGUG